UUUCUGUUCUAGUGCUUGCAUACCCAUAAGGAUACACUUAUAUACCCGAAUUUCGCCGGAUUGUAGGAAUGAUAACUGAUCAUUUGAUCAGAAAACUAAGGGAGCCUGGGCAUAAA